rnacentral:rRNA from 1 species
AACGAACGCUGGCGGCAUGCCUAACACAUGCAAGUCGAACGAGACCUUCGGGUCUAGUGGCGCUCGGGUGCGUAACGCGUGGGAACCUGCCCUUAGGUUCGGAAUACCUCCCCGAAAGGGGUGCUAAUACCGGAUAAUGUCUUCGGACCAAAGAUUUAUCGCCAUUGGAUGGGCCCGCGUUGGAUUAGCCAGUUGGUAGGGUAAAAGCCUAGCAAGGCGACGAUCCAUAGCUGGUCUGGGAGGAUGAUCAACCACACUGGGACUGAGACACGGCUCAGACUCCUACGGGGGGGAGCAGUAGGGAAUAUUGGACGAUGGGCGAAAGCCUGAUCCAGCAACGCCGCGUGAGUGAUGAAGGCCUUAGUGUUGUAAAGCUCUUUUACCCGGGAUGAGAAUGACAGUACCGGGAGAAGAAGCACCGGCUAACUCCGUG